rnacentral:lncRNA from 1 species
CGAAAACAUCGUUCAACUCAAUGCAACUUUGUAUUUUUAUAAAAACAAAAAAUAUUUACCCUGCCUGCGCAGCCGCUGUCUUGUAUAUGCCAGAUUCGUCUCGAUCCUGCCCUCACCUACAACCCAUCAUAAAUCUACAAAUUUGCGACUCCGAUUCAACCAACCACGCCCUCACUUACAACCCACCAUAAUCUACAAAUUUGCGAUUCCGAUUCAACCAACAUUUUGUGUAUUAAGGGUGAAGUGUAAACAGAUGAAUUCAAUCAAAUGUAGAGAGAGAGGAAGAGAGAUAGAGAUUCAAGCACUACUAGCAAAAACGGAGCAGCACAUGCAUUGCUCAAAGCUUUCAAGGAUUUUAAAAAGGACGAUACACAUGGAUCUCGCAAGCUAUUUUUGAUUUUUGUGUGAAUUUAAUAUCGUGAUUGGAAGUAGCAGCAUAGUCAAAGUAGGAAGGUGUGUAAAUCAACGGUUAAAUGUAUAGAGAGGAGGUCG